rnacentral:lncRNA from 1 species
GGUCCCCAGGCUCGGCCGACUGAAGCGAGAGGGGGGCGGCUCAGCCCCCUCCCCCCGAUCCCGCAGGUGCUGCCGCCUCGGUGGUCGUCGCGGCGACGGGCCCUCUCAAGUCUCCUCCCGCGUGGCACCGAUGGGUCUCUCUCCGCUCCUCUCGGUCUUUUUCUUUCUGGGCUGUUGACAACCCCCACACCAGGAAGUCCUGCCUCCUCGGGCCUGCUGACUGCUCCUCUCCUCCUCCUCCUUCCCCUCUUCCUCCCCUUCCUCCGCCCUCUCUCGCUCCUGGGGCUCCCGGCCAGCUGGCCCGGGGCCAGGUCUGCCACCGCCACUGCUGGUGCAGUUGCCGCUGCCGCUGCUGCUGCUGCUGCGGGGGCCCCGGGACAGGCUGCCUUAACCCCACACCUGCUGGGCCGCAGCCCAGCGCUUCCUCGGAGGGAGGGGCCGCGGAGGGCGGAGAGAAAGGGGGAGGAGUCUGCGGGGAGGCCAGGGAUUCCCUUACUCGUAGGCACUUGCUGCCAUUGGCCUACGGACGCGCGGAGGAGUGGGGAGGAACUCAACCAGGGUUCCGCCGGGUGCCUGCCACCCCAUCAGCGCCCAGUAAAUGGUUCUGGUGCUGCUGCAGCUGCUAUUGUCGUAUCUUCGCUGGCUUUCACAGUAACCGAACGAGGGAGAUACCGUUUUUCUCCCCUGCUCUUAUUUUUUCAAGUGGAUCUUUGUGGCAAUUUUCAAACAUGCCCCUACGUAGAGAGAACGAUAAAAGGAACUCCUAAAGGACCCGAGAUGCAGUUUCGACAAUUCUCAGCUCACAGCCGAACUUGUUUCAUCUAUACCCUCAAAAUCUUGCGUGAUAUUGUGCUGGAGUAUUUGAAUCAAACCCCAAACAUCCCACUGUUCCUCUUGUUAGAUGUGGAAAUGGAGACCCAGGAGGUUCAAAAAGACUGUCAGUGGUGGCGCAGGGACACUUCUCACUCAGGUGUGUCCUUGUCUGGCUCCCUAGAUAGGGAGAAACCACGAAGACGCGCUAAGGAAGGUGCUGACUUGCAUUUUCUCUACCAACCGCUGUUCACACAUGAGCACACAUACAGAUGUGCCCGCCUGGAGGAGGAACCUGGCUGGCCACAAACCCUGACCCUUUCCCACCCCCACCUCUCACCCUUCCCAUCCCCUGCUCACUAUGGAGAAUCCACACACACUCAUUAA